AAGGAGAUUAAAAAAGAUCGAAGGUACAGAAGAAGCAGACAACAUCUGAACAAGUUGAGCAACUGAAUUUUUCAUGGUUUUCAAAGGCACCACCAUGUUCUCUGCAUCACUCUUUAGAAACAUAAGGAGGUUCCAAGGAUUUAGGACUAUACGACAGAUAUGUAUUAAAAACUUUGGAAAUACCCUUAGGCUAUUGCCCUUUUAUUGUUUGCCAGUUCCUUUUGUGACUGUACAUGCCUUAAGCUUUAGGAACUCAAAAGAGAAGGAAGAUAAGGAUCAGGAGAAAAUGAUUGACUACAAAGCUGUGAUAGAGACUGCUGAACAAUUGUAUCAGGAUUACAAAGUCCAGGAGUUAUAUGACUAUCUUGUUCAAUUCAAGGAUUGUACAAACGAUGAGGUCCUAUGGCGACUGGCCAGGGCCACCACUGACAAGGGCAAAGACAGUACCGAUGCAGAAGUGAAGAAAUCCUUGGUAUGCUGUGCUGCUGGAUUACACCGGGGAGUAUGAAGGCACUAAAGCCCGGAUUUCUAAUGCUUUCUCUGUUAAGAAACAUUUCCUGAGAGCCAUUGAAUUAAAUCCAAAUGAUGCAACAUCCAUUCAUUCCAUCGGUUUCUGGUGCUUUAUAUUUGCAGACAUGCCAUGGUACACACGUAAAGUGGCAGCCGCUCUAUUUGCCACCCCUCCUACCUCAACAUACUCAGAGGCACUAUACUACUUUCAGCUAGCUGAGAAAGUGGAAGCCAACUUUUAUAGUAUGAAUUUACUGAUGAUUGGUAAAACUCAUUUGAGGAUGAAGAAUUACUCAGCUGCCAAAAGCUUUUUAGUCAAAGCCCGAGAUUAUCCUGUAGUUACUCCUGAUGACAAGAAGGCACAUGAAGAAGCCAUUCAGUUGCUGAGUAAAAUUGGAGUAAAGAGCUGAUUUGAUGAAAUUCAAAGAAUCAACUAAACACUGUCUCUCAUUACCUUUUUAUCAUUAGUAUCAGUGUAUGCUUAUGAGGACCCAUCAAAGAAUUGUGAUAAUACCAGUACUUUCAUUGAAAGUUUGGGGUUUUUUGGGUGGGUGGGAUAGUAUCUCUACAUGUAUUUUAUGUUGUUACUUUAAAUGUUCUUUAAAUAAAUAUGAUAAUGGU
rnacentral:misc_RNA from 1 species